rnacentral:rRNA from 1 species
GGACCUAGCGGCGGACGGGUGAGUAAUGCUUAGGAAUCUGCCUAUUAGUGGGGGACAACAUCUCGAAAGGGAUGCUAAUACCGCAUACGUCCUACGGGAGAAAGCAGGGGAUCUUCGGACCUUGCGCUAAUAGAUGAGCCUAAGUCGGAUUAGCUAGUUGGUGGGGUAAAGGCCUACCAAGGCGACGAUCUGUAGCGGGUCUGAGAGGAUGAUCCGCCACACUGGGACUGAGACACGGCCCAGACUCCUACGGGAGGCAGCAGUGGGGAAUAUUGGACAAUGGGGGGAACCCUGAUCCAGCCAUGCCGCGUGUGUGAAGAAGGCCUUAUGGUUGUAAAGCACUUUAAGCGAGGAGGAGGCUACU